UACGUAGGGUGCAAGCGUUAAUCGGAAUUACUGGGCGUAAAGCGUGCGUAGGUGGUCUUUUAAGUCCGUUGUGAAAGCCCUGGGCUCAACCUGGGAAUGGCAGUGGAUACUGGAAGGCUGGAGUACGGUAGAGGAGGGUGGAAUUCCCGGUGUAGCGGUGAAAUGCGUAGAGAUCGGGAGGAACAUCAGUGGCGAAGGCGGCCCUCUGGACCAGUACUGACGCUGAGGCACGAAAGCGUGGGGAGCAAACAGG
rnacentral:rRNA from 1 species